CGAUGAAGACGGCGGACAACCCCGGAUGAUUAUGUUGAAGAUGGAAAUGGAACAACUGUCCCGGCGUAUCAACGAUCCCCUCUCCACGGAGUAUGGAACGGAUGAUUUGAGCAAGGCACGUUCGUUGCGCCGGGAACUUAAACAAAUGGACGAAGAGUUCCGUAUGCUUCAUAAGGCAAUCGGUGGAAUUGGCAAGCCGAGGGUGAACGGGUUCCAAUUCCCUAUUACACGGGAAGAAGAUGUUGAACGGCUGGAGACGGCGGUGCGGAGCAAUAGUGACAUCCGUGCACAAUACGUGGAAUAUCUGGACUUCACUAAACCAUUCAGAAUGAGUGUGCAGCAAGUGUUCAGCAAGUUUUUCACCGACGAAGCCAUGACCAACUACAAUUGGCAUGGGGUGGACCGGGCCCAGUACCCGCGGACGCCCAAAAAAGGCAUGCAGAAGUAUGACAUAUUCUAUGGCUGUAUGAUUGAUGCCUGGGAGAGUCAUGGAUUAGACAACGAAUUUAUAGUGGAACAGUUAAAGAAAGCUGUCUUUCACAUAAACCGGCGUCGGUACACGAAAAAGCAAUUUAUGAAAAAGAAACACAACUCAUAAUGUAAAGAAUAGCACAUCAAUUCAACGCGGCGUCCUCGAAUGGAAAAAAUAUAGAGAUUCUCAAGCUUGAACUGGCUCAGCUAGAUGUACUUUUCAGUCAACGCCGGAUGACAGGACAAAAAACCGGGCGGUCAAAGCGUACGCCAAUAUAGUAAAGCAUUACAGGCAUGGCAAUGACAAGGAAUGGACUCUAAAUACCAGGAGAGUUAUUCAACGUGUGCAGUACCGGCAGCUUGCAAGAAAAUUAUGCUGCAAGAGAAAAUAAAAUUUAUAUAAUAAAAUAAAA